rnacentral:rRNA from 1 species
CCUACGGGUGGCUGCAGUGGGGAAUAUUGGACAAUGGGCGCAAGCCUGAUCCAGCAAUGCCGCGUGGGUGAAGAAGGCCUUCGGGUUGUAAAGCCCUUUUGUACGGGAAGAAAACCCCUCCGAUAAUACCGGAUGGGAAUGACGGUACCGUAAGAAUAAGCACCGGCUAACUUCGUGCCAGCAGCCGCGGUAAUACGAAGGGUGCAAGCGUUAAUCGGAAUUACUGGGCGUAAAGCGUGCGUAGGCGGUUUCUUAAGUCCGUUGUGAAAGCCCUG